ACUGCGAGAAUGAAGACCAUUCUCAGCAAUCAGACUGUCGACAUUCCAGAAAAUGUCGACAUUACUCUGAAGGGACGCACAGCUAUCGUGAAGGGCCCUAGAGGAACCCUGCGGAGGGACUUCAAUCACAUCAAUGUAGAACUCAGUCUUCAUGGAAAGAAAAAAAAAGAGGCUCCGGGUUGACAAAUGGUGGGGUAACCGAAAGGAACUGGCUACUGUUCGGACUAUUUGUAGUCACGUACAGAACACGAUCAAGGGUGUUACACUGGGCUUCUGUUACAAGAUGAGAUCUGUGUAUGCUCACUUCCCCAUCAAUGUUGUUAUCCAGGAGUAUGGGUCUCUUGUUGAAAUCCGAAAUUUCCUGGGUGAAAAAUACAUCCGCAGGGCUUGAACAAGACCAGGUGUUGCUUGUUCAGUAUCUCAAGCCCAGAAAGAUGAAUUAAUCCUUGAAGGAAAUGACAUUGAGCUUGUUUCAAAUUCAGCGGCUUUGAUUCAGCAAGCUACAACAGUUAAAAACAAGGAUAUCUGGAAAUUUUUGGAUGGCAUCUAUGUCUCUGAAAAAGGAACUGUUCAGCAGGCUGAUGAGUAA